rnacentral:misc_RNA from 1 species
GGAAGGAUCAUUACCGAGACGAGAUCGGGGGGGCGUAAAAACCCCCUCCGCUGAUCGUAUCACACCCUUCUUAACACGCACCUCAUGUACUUCCUCGGCGGGGCGACCCGCCGGCGGAACGUUCGCAAACCCUUUUCGUGCAUCCGAGCAGUAAUCGUUCCGAUGAAAAACACAAUCGUUACAAUCUUCAACAAUGGAUCUCUUGGCUCUGGCAUCGAUGAAGAACGCAGCGAAAUGCGAUAAGUAGUGUGAAUUGCAGAAUCCAGUGAAUCAUCGAAUCUUUGAACGCACAUUGCGCCCCUCGGUAUUCCGUGGGGCAUGCCUGUUCGAGCGUCAUUUCGAAACUCAAGCAAUGCUUGGUGUUGGGCGUCUGUCCGCGCUUCCAGCGCGCGACUCGCCCCAAAGACAUUGGCAGCCCAGGCCGUCCGACCCGCCCGCAGCACAUUGCGUCCGGCGAGUCGUCGCGGUCCAGGCGAUCCAGCAAGCUCCCCUUCUCAGUUUUGACCUCGGAUCAGGUAGGGAUACCCGCUGAACUUAAGCAUAUCAAUAAGCGGAGGAAAAGAAACCAACAGGGAUUGCCCCAGUAACGGCGAGUGAAGCGGCAACAGCUCAAAUUUGAAAUCUGGCCUCCUUUGGGGGUCCGAGUUGUAAUUUGCAGAGGGUGCUUUGGUUGUGGCGGCGGUCUAAGUUCCUUGGAACAGGACAUCGCAGAGGGUGAGAAUCCCGUACGUGGGCGCCUGCCACUUCCGUGUAAAGCCCCUUCGACGAGUCGAGUUGUUUGGGAAUGCAGCUCUAAAUGGGAGGUAAAUUUCUUCUAAAGCUAAAUACCGGCCAGAGACCGAUAGCGCACAAGUAGAGUGAUCGAAAGAUGAAAAGUACUUUGGAAAGAGAGUAAAAUAGCACGUGAAAUUGUUGUAGAGGAAGCGCUUGCAGCCAGACUUCCCCGUAGUUGCUCACCCGGGCUCCUGCCCGGGGCACUCUUCUGCGGGGAGGCCAGCAUCAGUUUGGGCGGUCGGAUAAAGGCCCCUGUCACGUACCUCCCUUCGGGGAGGCCUUACAGGGGGGGCGUAAUGCGACCAGCCCGGACUGAGGUCCGCGCAUCUGCUAGGAUGCUGGCGUAAUGGCUGUAAGCGGCCCGUCUUGAAACACGGACCAAGGAGUCUAACAUCUAUGCGAGUGUUUGGGUGUCAAGCCCGGGCGCGCAAUGAAAGUGAACGGAGGUGGGAACCCUCACGGGUGCACCAUCGACCGAUCCUGAUGUCUUCGGAUGGAUUUGAGUAAGAGCAUAGCUGUUGGGACCCGAAAGAUGGUGAACUAUGCUUGAAUAGGGUGAAGCCAGAGGAAACUCUGGUGGAGGCUCGCAGCGGUUCUGACGUGCAAAUCGAUCGUCAAAUUUGGGCAUAGGGGCGAAAGACUAAUCGAACUAUCUAGUAGCUGGUUCCUGC